rnacentral:rRNA from 1 species
CCUACGGGAGGCAGCAGUGGGGAAUAUUGCACAAUGGGGGAAACCCUGAUGCAGCGACGCCGCGUGAGUGAAGAAGUAUUUCGGUAUGUAAAGCUCUAUCAGCAGGGAAGAAAAUGACGGUACCUGAUUAAGAAGCCCCGGCUAACUACGGGCCAGCAGCCGCGGGAAUACGUAGGGGGCAAGCGUUAUCCGGAUGUACUGGGGGUUAAGGGGGCGUAGACGGGAGCACAAGUCUGGAGUGAAAUGCCGGGGCUUAACCCCGGAACUGCUGUGGAAACUGUGCAGCUAGAGUGCAGGAGAGGUAAGUGGAAUUCCUAGUGUAGCGGUGAAAUGCGUAGAUAUUAGGAGGAACACCAGUGGCGAAGGCGGCUUACUGGACUGUAACUGACGUUGAGGCACGAAAGCGUGGGGAGCAAACAGGAUUAGAUACCCUAGUAGUC